rnacentral:rRNA from 1 species
GACGAACGCUGGCGGCGUGCUUAACACAUGCCAGUCGAACGGAAAGGCCCUGCUUUUGUGGGGGGCUCGAGUGGCGAACGGGUGAGUAACACGUGAGUAACCUGCCCUUGACUUUGGGAUAACUUCAGGAAACUGGGGCUAAUACCGGAUAGGAGCUCCUGCUGCAUGGUGGGGGUUGGAAAGUUUCGGCGGUUGGGGAUGGACUCGCGGCUUAUCAGCUUGUUGGUGGGGUAGUGGCUUACCAAGGCUUUGACGGGUAGCCGGCCUGAGAGGGUGACCGGCCACAUUGGGACUGAGAUACGGCCCAAACUCCUACGGGAGGAAGCAGUGGGGAAUAUUGCACAAUGGGCGGAAGCCUGAUGCAGCAACGCCGCGUGCGGGAUGACGGCCUUCGGGUUGUAAACCGCUUUCGCCUGUGACGACGCGUGAGUGACGGUAAUGGGUAAAGAAGCACCGGCUAACUCCGUG